ensembl:snRNA U6 U6 spliceosomal RNA
GUUUGCUUUAGCUGACAUAUACUAAAAUCAGAACAAUAUAGAGAAGAUCAGCAUGGCUGUCCCACAAAGAUGACAUGCAAAUUUGUAAAGCACUCCAUAUUUUU